CAAAAGCUAGUAGUGUAUUUUGCGUCGGCAUAAAAAAAAUAUAUAAUUGUAUAAUUACAGUUACAUAAAGUUUUUAAUACACUUUAAUCGCUUUGGCUAUGGGGAUGAGGGGUAGAUUUGACUCUGAGAAAAAAAUCUGAGGUUGAAACCCUUCUUCUACACACAAAUCACUCUCAGAGGAAGAUAGCAUACCUGGCCGGCUUAUCUAAGUCUGCUGUCAAUAAAAUCAAGAUAAAUUUAGACCAAAAUCCGCUACUUUCGCACAAAAGAAAAGGCGAAUGUGGCAGAAAACUAAUCAGAACAGCAUGUUCCAAUAGGAAAAUUCGGGAUAUCUGUUUGCAAAACAGAAAGAAAAGUUCUGGAUUCUUUACUCAGAUAGUAGAAUCUGGAAUAUGUGUUUCUAAAAUGACUGUACAGCGAAUAUCUGGUUUAUAAAAUCAUAUAUACAAAAAUUAUAAAUUGUUUCUAUAUUUUUUUGUUUCUCAGACAAAUUAACUUUUGAAAUUCUGGCCAACAAAAGCAAAUUCGUGAGGCGGCAUCUAGCUUAAUGUUCAAAUAGAAGGCUUGUAAGCAGGACAUGAAAAAAGACAGCUCAAUUCAUGUCCAGAUUGGAUGAUAUUGUAUAAAUGGCAUAAUGGUGUACAAGAAAAGAAAAGCAUAUUUUUUUGAGUUACAGUGGCUGAGGAGAAGAGCAAAUGAAGCUACGUGAAAGCUUGUUAGUUUAAAAUAAUGUAAUACAAUAGUAAACGAGUUGUCACUUGUAUAUUUUUAUAAUAAUAAAUAAAUAACCCUGGACAAGUACCACAGCGCCAUCUAGUCCCACUCUAAUCAGAGCUUCUGUUAUGGGUACUAGACAGCUGAUAUAAAUUUUUAGAUAUAUUUUUUACACACGCAUAAUAUAAUAAUAAUACAUAUUACUACUCAAGACAAUUCACACAGCGCCAUCUAGUCCCAAGUUAAGCUAUCUAAAGCUUGUGUUACGGGUACUAGAUAACUGAUACAAUUACAUAGAUAUAUUUUUUUUUUCGUAAAUAUAUGUAUAUUAUAUAUAGAAAACACCCAGACCGAUACAAACAAUCAUACUCAUGGAUACAAAUGGAGCGAGGAAUCGAACCCGCGACCAUCGGGCGUAAAGCGGUGUGCUAGACCGCUAGACCACCGAGGUCGUCAUAUACAUAAAAUAUACCCAGAUCGAUACAACCAAAAUAAAUAUAAUAUAGAUUUUUUAAAGGCAAUAUGUUCUACUUCUACUUAUAUUUCUUUCACUAUAAAGAGUUAUUCUUAUUAUCAUUAAUUCAAAUAUUACAUGUGGAAUCAUUGUAUUUUAUUCACUAAUGUUAAUCUUAAGAAUACUGUCAGUAUACUUUUCCUCCUUUGUAUAUAUGACUGUAUAGAAUUUAAGAAUAAAAAUAAAUUAUUGAAAUAUACUUUUUGGUAGGCAGGAAUAUGACUGACGUACCCGCCCGUACAAAAUGUAAGUUUUCGGUGCACCAGUGGAGUAUGAUAGGAUUAGUCGUGGGAAAUUGCGGAAAAAUAUAGUAAACAAGGUUCCAUCAUCAUACGUUGAUUGCACAAAUCGAUUAUUACUUUUUUUGAAGCAAAUAGCAGCACAA